rnacentral:rRNA from 1 species
CCUACGGGGUGCAGCAGUGGGGAAUAUUGGACAAUGGGCGAAAGCCUGAUCCAGCCAUGCCGCGUGUGUGAAGAAGGCCUUCGGGUUGUAAAGCACUUUCAGUGGGGAAGAAAGCCUUGGGGCUAAUACCCUCGAGGAAGGACAUCACCCACAGAAGAAGCACCGGCUAACUCCGUGCCAGCAGCCGCGGUAAUACGGAGGGUGCGAGCGUUAAUCGGAAUUACUGGGCGUAAAGCGCGCGUAGGCGGUCUGAUAAGCCGGUUGUGAAAGCCCCGGGCUCAACCUGGGAACGGCAUCCGGAACUGUCAGGCUAGAGUGCAGGAGAGGAAGGUAGAAUUCCCGGUGUAGCAGUGAAAUGCGUAGAGAUCGGGAGGAAUACCAGUGGCGAAGGCGGCCUUCUGGACUGACACUGACGCUGAGGUGCGAAAGCGUGGGUAGCAAACAGGAUUAGAUACCCUAGUAGUC